GAUGAACGCUGGCGGCGUGCCUAAUACAUGCAAGUCGAGCGAACAGAUGAGGAGCUUGCUCCUCUGACGUUAGCGGCGGACGGGUGAGUAACACGUGGAUAACCUACCUAUAAGACUGGGAUAACUUCGGGAAACCGGAGCUAAUACCGGAUAAUAUAUUGAACCGCAUGGUUCAAUAGUGAAAGACGGUUUUGCUGUCACUUAUAGAUGGAUCCGCGCCGCAUUAGCUAGUUGGUAAGGUAACGGCUUACCAAGGCAACGAUGCGUAGCCGACCUGAGAGGGUGAUCGGCCACACUGGAACUGAGACACGGUCCAGACUCCUACGGGAGGCAGCAGUAGGGAAUCUUCCGCAAUGGGCGAAAGCUUGACGGAGCAACGCCGCGUGAGUGAUGAAGGUCUUCGGAUCGUAAAACUCUGUUAUUAGGGAAGAACAAAUUUGUAAGUAACUAUGCACGUCUUGACGGUACCUAAUCAGAAAGCCACGGCUAACUACGUG
rnacentral:rRNA from 1 species